UCGACCAGGGCAGGAGAAAACAAGGGUUUACCCUUGUUCUUGUAAGAUUCAACAAAUUAACAAAGGAAUUCAAGGCCAAUCAGUUGCAUGUCAUCAAAUUCUCGUUUAACACGUCAUACUCAAUAGAGUGGCGUGAAAGAAGAAGGCUGAAACACUAAGAAAACGGGAGACUCGCAAGAUCGAGGUAAAUCCUCAAUUUAGGCGACUUGGCAAUUUGGAGCGAGCAUAUGCACACUUGAUGGUUAUCAAGCGCUUCCGCUAUUACGUAUUAAUGUUUUGGGUCAAAUGCUCGUUUUUUUUAUAUAACAUUGUUAGUGGUUACACUUUUUAACACUUGAUGUAU